CGUCCAGAUCCUUCUACACCGACCAUCUAUUCUGUAUGUACUCAUCCUUAUCACUACCACCGCUUCAUCUCUCUCUAUUCUUAUUACACUCUCGAUUCUUCUUCUCACUUCUUCUCUAUUGAACCCGAUCGCUUCUAUCUCUACUUUUCUUCUUCAUCUCAGGCUUUAUAGAUUCGGGGUUGUGACGGCCAAAGGUUCUGCUUCACGCCUUCUACAUCUGUUGCUGUUCCUUUUUAAAGAAACACACGAAGCUUCUAUCCUGGGCUCCCUACACUGGCAACCACUGCCUGAUCCGUGCUUCCCACCGCUCCAUGUUAAUUUCUACAAUAUUUGUCGGUGACGAUGGGAAUAGAACGACGGCAAUCAUGAUGAUGAUGUACGAUCCGUCUUCGAGCCCUAAAUCUGUUGAAGGAUUACCUGUGAAUUUCUCGUUUGGACGUGUACGGAGACCACAAACGCACUGUCUUCCACCCUCUUUUUCUUUUAGUUUUGGUUUUCCUUCUUCACCUUUGUUUAUCUGGAAUUUCUUUGGAUUGAUUUCAAAUUUCGUCUUCUCUUUCUCCAGGUUCCGCUCAUGGUUUCUAAUUCCGUGUGUCCGACUUCUGAUUGUUUUCAAGUAACUUGAGUUUUAUUUUUCUCAUCUAAAUUCAUGUUAUUUAUCUUUUUUACUCUUCACCCAAGGUAAAUUUCUUGAUCUCACCAGAGAAAUCUAUAAUGUUAUUAGGAUUUUAAUCAAUUUUUUUAUUCUUCAAUUGUUUUUGGUUGUCUGGUAAGUGCAGGGGCGACAGAUACAUGGUUAGCUCUAAUUGUUGAAGUAUUAUUUUUUCCUAAUAUACUGAAAUUCCCUUUCCAUUUCUUCCUGUAAAUUGAAAAACAUUUUGAAAUAUCUAUCUAUUAACUUAUCAUUCACUUUGAAACUCAAAAAGAUAAAAUCGAUCAAUUUAUCAAUUUUGGGUUUUUUUAUUACCAGUUGCCCAUAGUGAAAAUAUCACUACAGUUGAAGAGAUUCAUACAUACGUUUUGAAACAAUUAAGUUGUUUCAUAGAACUGGACAAUCCUGUGUCAAUGGACUCUUCUAAUACAUCAAAAUCAUGUCAAUAUUGGGUUGUCAGUGGUUCUAUUUCAGGUUUUGAUAUCAUAAUAUCAUUAUCCAAGAUUCAGGUGAGAAUUAUAUAUCAUGUUUUAUUUUAAAUGUUUGAGAAGAUACAAGUUGAUGCUUAUAUGACAUAUGUUAUUAUGUCUCCAGAUGUUGCUUUCAAUUUCUAAAAUUUAUGGUUUCUCCACCAAAGAAAGAGUUGUAUGCAGCUAAGGAAAUUACGUAUAUACGGUACAAGAUGGUAUUUUUUGUUUCUUAUUGUAGUUCACAAGUUUAUUACCACAAAAUCCAUUGACAAAUUUCAGUCAAGUGGAUUUAUCUCAUAACAAUUGUGUGCUUAUUUAUUUGUUUCCAUUCUGCAUGUUUGGUUUCUAAUAAGUUGUUAUGAAUUUAUAGUUAUUCUUUAUUUUUUGUCUUCCUAAACAACUUUUAUAUAUUUUUUAUCAAGCAUGUCUGUUUUUCUAUUGUGAUCAGGCUUACAAACUUACCAAAUUUUCAUAGGUUUUGUAACUGAUAUAUAGUGAUUGUAUCUUUAUAAAUUAUAGAUGGAAUGUUGUGAAUAUAAAAUAUAGGUAAUUUGAUCUAAUUAAAAAAAAGAUUUAGUAGCUAAGAAAUAGUAUUUGUACAUAAAAGUUACAGAUGUCAAAGUGAAUAAUAGAUUAAGUCAACUUGAAUAACGUCUUAAAAUCAAUAAAAUGGGAAUGAAAUGGAUACAUUUUUAACCAAAUGAAUAUGGAUCCGAUUGUUCAAAUUAAGGUAUGAAAUUGUUUCUUCAUAUGCAUUUACUUUUGAUUCUUUCUGCUUUUCAUGUUGUCAUAUGGAUUUUUUUGUGGAUUUCCCCUGUUCUUGAUGACAACAUCCAUCAACAUAUGUUCCCUCUGGUGUAGAAGGAAAAUCAAUUUUUUUCACCAGAACUAAUAGAGGUUCAAGUCAAGUAAUAUCAUACGUCAUUUAGGAGGUCACAUAUGACAGCUUCAAAAUCGAUAUGAUAUUAUUUUUUUAGUUGUUAGAUAUACAUAUGUAUAUAUAAACUUGUAAUAAUAAUUUUCCCAUGAAAAAGGUCCUAGAUGACAAGUUGAAAUUUCACAUGACAAGGACUUCAUCUAGGACCCUGAAGCGAAGAAACCUGAGGGUUACGAUCACAUCCUAAAGGUGAUUUCAGAUUCUGAUUUGAAAGGGUACACUCUUUAAUUUCCAUUUCCGUAAUUCAUUUUUCAUUUUUAAGUUUUUAAUUAUAAUGAGCUAAAAUUGUAGUGAAAAGUUUGAGAUGAGGAGUAAGAUGGUGAGUGGACAGUUGCCUUAUUAGUUUGUUCGAUUUUACAAGGCAUGUAUAUUUCAAAUCCAUCAGUGUCACACGAAACGUUGCUGAAAACAUUGAAACUUCACGAGUUGAAACCAAGGACUUACAGAAUCAAUGUGAUCUUCCAAAUAUACCCUUUAUUAUGUAGUUUUGUAAUCUUUGUGGUGAUUAUUGUUGUAAUUUGUUAUGAAUUAGGUUGGGCAUUUUGUGCAUAUUCCAAAUAAGAUGAUGUGAUUUUCAAUUUUACCCUCAGCUACCAAUUGGGAAGCAAAGAAUGGAGGAGCUUGAAUUUAUAUAUGUUAUUUCACUAUCUCACUGUCUUAUUCUAAUCUUAUGAUAGCUUACUAGGCUCUUUUCAUUUAUGUAUAAGUUAUUAGACUCCAGUUUCUUAUUUGUGUAUUGUUUUUCUAUUACAAAUUGUAGGUCCAUCAACAGGUUAUUGAAAUUGUCACCGAUAUUGCUUCUACAACAUCAAAGUUGGCAUAAAAAAUGUUUUCUACUUUGCAUAUCAGGGUGUUGCUGCCGCACUUGCUAUUUACUUUGCAACGCAAAGGGGUCAUUAUAUCAUAGCAUACUACAACAUAUUUGUGUAUUUGUAAAUGGGAGAAACGUAGAAAAUAGCAACAUACUUUACUGUAGCUACCAAUUAGAACAAUGUACUAUACUUGCAUACAAAAGCGACACCUUCCGACCCCCGCAACGUGGGGGUCACCUUUCUAGUUCUAUUUAAACUAAUUAUUGUGUUAUUGUA